UCCUGGGUGGCUCAGCGGUUGAGCAUCUGUCUUUGGCUCAGGGUACGAUCCUGGAGUUGCAGGAUCAAGUCCUACAUCAGGAU
rnacentral:tRNA from 1 species